rnacentral:rRNA from 1 species
AUGGCGCACAGCAGUGGCAGAGGCCUGCGUAGACAGCAAGCCGGUAGCCGGCGGAUCAACGCAGCCAAGCGAAGCUGGAAGGGUGGCCGAGGUCGCAGCCACUAUGGUGGAGGAGCAAGGCAACUUGAGACGGUGGAGGAGCCCAGAGGCGGGCCGCAGCGUGAAGACGGUGAUGACUCGGGAGCAUACGCGAUGCGGUGGAGGCAAAUCGGGGCCAUGCUGGAGACAAGCGACUCGGAGCAGAGGCUCGGAUGCGGGGAGGCCGCAGGAGCCGAUCGGAGUGGAACGGAGCAGGCCACGGUCACGGCGGCUCAGGCGCAACCAUGGCGGCUCAGGCGGGGCCACGGUGGCUCAAGCGCGGGGACGGGGACAGAGGAGCAAGGCCGCAGGGCGACUUGUGGAGGCCGGCGGCUCAACAGGGCCUGCGGUUAA